rnacentral:rRNA from 1 species
AUGUCCAUCUCCACCGCUUCCCGCCGCGCCCUCAGCCGGAUCGGCGGCGCCCUCCGGCGGUCCUUGUCGUCGUCGUCGUCGUCGGUGCCGGACGCCUCGGGGUACCACGUGUCGGGCGGGCCGAGCUUCAUGCGCGCGGCCGUGUUCUGGGAGCCCGGCCGCCCGCUCACCAUGGAGGAGUUCCGCAUGCCGCGCCCCAAGGCCGGCGAGGUCCUCGUCAAGACCAAAGCUUGUGGAGUUUGCCACUCUGAUCUCCAUGUCAUGAAAGGCGAACUCCCUUUCGCCAGCCCUUGUGUCGUUGGCCAUGAGAUCACCGGGGAGGUUGUCGACCAUGGCGCGCACACGCCCGCUGAGAUCGUCAAUAGGUUUCCAGUUGGCAGUCAUGUUGUUGGAGCCUUCAUAAUGCCCUGUGGGAAUUGCUUUUACUGUGUGAAGGGCCAGGAAGACCUCUGUGAGUCUUUCUUUGCGUACAAUCGUGCUAAAGGAACACUAUAUGAUGGUGAAACCCGACUAUUUCUACGCAGCAACGGAAAACCAGUGUACAUGUACAGUAUGGGCGGGCUUGCGGAGUACUGUGUUGUGCCGGCCAAUGCAUUAGCAAUUCUUCCUAACUCGUUGCCGUACACAGAGUCAGCCAUUCUAGGAUGUGCUGUGUUCACCGCAUAUGGCGCUUUGAGGCAUGCUGCUGAAAUGCGUGCCGGUGAUUCAGUAGCAGUGAUUGGGGUUGGCGGGGUUGGAUCAAGCUGUUUACAGAUAGCAAGAGCCUUUGGAGCUUCCGAAGUCAUUGCGGUGGAUGUUCUCGAUGAGAAACUCCAGAAUGCAAAAACACUUGGAGCAACCCACACUGUAAACGCAGCUAAAGAAGACGCUGUUGAAAGGAUCAAGGAAAUCACUGGUGGGAGAGGUGUGGAUGUCGCUGUGGAGGCACUUGGCAAGGCAUUAACAUUUUCCCAGUGCACCCAAAGUGUACGAGAUGGAGGUAAAGCUGUUAUGAUCGGGCUUGCUGCAACAAACGUAGUAGGCGAGGUGGAUAUAACCCGUCUUGUUCGCCGACAGGUCAAAAUCAUUGGCUCGUAUGGUGCAAGAGCCAGGCAAGAUCUUCCUCAGAUAGUCAAGCUUGCUGAGAGCGGCGCCUUCAAUCUCGAGAACGCCAUAUCAAGGAAAUGCAAAUUCGAAGAGGCGAACGGCGCCUAUGAGGAUCUCAACCAGGGCAAGAUCGUUGGCCGAGCUGUAGUUGAAAUCAUGUAG